UGCCAGACUCCUACGGGAGGCAGCAGUGGGGAAUAUUGCACAAUGGGGGAAGCCCUGAUGCAGCGACGCCGCGUGAGUGAAGAAGUAAUUCGUUAUGUAAAGCUCUAUCAGCAGGGAAGAAAAUGACGGUACCUGAGUAAGAAGCCCCGGCUAACUACGUGCCAGCAGCCGCGGUAAUACGUAGGGGGCAAGCGUUAUCCGGAUUUACUGGGUGUAAAGGGAGCGUAGACGGCAGAGCAAGUCUGAAGUGAAAGCCCGCGGCCCAACUGCGGGACUGCUUUGGAAACUGCCCGGCUAGAGUGCUGGAGAGGUAAGCGGAAUUCCUAGUGUAGCGGUGAAAUGCGUAGAUAUUAGGAGGAACACCAGUGGCGAAGGCGGCUUACUGGACAGCAACUGACGUUGAGGCUCGAAAGCGUGGGGAGCAAACAGGAUUAGAUACCCUGGUA
rnacentral:rRNA from 1 species